GGAGGGGUGGCAGAGUGGUUGAAUGCGGCGGUCUCGAAAACCGUUUGGCCCGCAACCCGGGUCACGGGGGUUCGAAUCCCCCCUCCUCCGCCA
rnacentral:tRNA from 3 species